rnacentral:rRNA from 1 species
CCUACGGGUGGCAGCAGUGGGGAAUAUUGGGCAAUGGGCGAAAGCCUGACCCAGCAAUGCCGCGUGAAUGAAGAAGGUCUUAGGAUUGUAAAAUUCUGUCCUAUGGGAAGAAAAAAAUGACGGUACCAUAGGAGGAAGCCCCGGCUAACUACGUGCCAGCAGCCGCGGUAAUACGUAGGGGGCGAGCGUUGUCCGGAAUUACUGGGCGUAAAGAGAGCGUAGGCGGCACUACAAGUCUCAUGUGAAAUACCCGGGCUUAACUUGGGGGUUGCAUGGGAAACUGUAGAGCUUGAGUACAGGAGAGGCAAGCGGAAUUCCUAGUGUAGCGGUGAAAUGCAUAGAUAUUAGGAGGAACACCAGUGGCGAAGGCGGCUUGCUGGACUGAAACUGACGCUGAGGCUCGAAAGCGUGGGGAGCAAACAGGAUUAGAUACCCCAGUAGUC